rnacentral:rRNA from 1 species
AUGCAAGUCGAACGGUAGCAGGAGAAAGCUUGCUUUCUUGCUGACGAGUGGCGGACGGGUGAGUAAUGCUUGGGAAUCUGGCUUAUGGAGGGGGAUAACGACGGGAAACUGUCGCUAAUACCGCGUAUUAUCGGAAGAUGAAAGUGCGGGACUGAGAGGCCGCAUGCCAUAGGAUGAGCCCAAGUGGGAUUAGGUAGUUGGUGGGGUAAAGGCCUACCAAGCCAGCGAUCUCUAGCUGGUCUGAGAGGAUGACCAGCCACACUGGAACUGAGACACGGUCCAGACUCCUACGGGAGGCAGCAGUGGGGAAUAUUGCGCAAUGGGGGGAACCCUGACGCAGCCAUGCCGCGUGAAUGAAGAAGGCCUUCGGGUUGUAAAGUUCUUUCGGUAUUGAGGAAGGUUGAUGUGUUAAUAGCACAUCAAAUUGACGUUAAAUACAGAAGAAGCACCGGCUAACUCCGUGCCAGCAGCCGCGGUAAUACGGAGGGUGCGAGCGUUAAUCGGAAUAACUGGGCGUAAAGGGCACGCAGGCGGUUAUUUAAGUGAGGUGUGAAAGCCCCGGGCUUAACCUGGGAAUUGCAUUUCAGACUGGGUAACUAGAGUACUUUAGGGAGGGGUGGAAUUCCACGUGUAGCGGUGAAAUGCGUAGAGAUGUGGAGGAAUACCGAAGGCGAAGGCAGCCCCUUGGGAAUGUACUGACGCUCAUGUGCGAAAGCGUGGGGAGCAAACAGGAUUAGAUACCCUGGUAGUCCACGCUGUAAACGCUGUCGAUUUGGGGGUUGGGGUUUAACUCUGGCGC